GACUAACUUCCUGUAACCAACCAGGUUAAAGAGUUCAUUGGUAACUGUGUUCAGACUAACUCAUAUUCAAUCACCAACCUGUGAUCGGAAGUCACCGCCCUCGGCGCUUGUUCCAGAGAAGUGUAGAGGAUGUUGUUUACAUAGUUUUAGAACCUCCAGGAUCAGCUGUCAGAGCCUUAGCAAUGCAAUGUGAGAAAUGCCGACGCACCGACCCCAGCGUUACCGAGCAGACCCUCCUGGAGCGGCCCUGCAUCUUCUGCUUCGCUCUCACCGGCUCUCCCUGGGCCUCUCCUGGCCCUGGAUGGAGGCUCAGCCCACAUUCUCAUGUCAUGACCCCACCCUGGGAGAACUUGGAUUCUGCAAACGGAGCUGCUCGUCUUGUGCUUCAGGACUUCCCUGCCUGUUAGGGCAGAUUCUAUUUCUCUGAUUUGUAUAUUUUCUGGGCUUUUAUUUUGUCUCAUCUUAUCUGUCAAAGUUGAAACUGAAAUCAGGAUCCAUCAGGUGGCUGUUAAGGGUGUGUCUCCAAGGACAUGAAAAUUCUGUAGUUUCAACCUUUAGAAGUCUAAAUAAGACUGCAAAUGCCCUGGAAAAGUGAGAGGGAGUCAGAAACAGAGUCAGCUCUGCCUCCGUAUUGGCUGUCCUCGUGAAACAAUGGUACUUAUUUUUAUCUCUUCAGUAUGAAUAUUUUCAAAAACACACAACUUCAACAAUUAUCAACUUAUGGCCAAUUGGAAACAAUGGGGCUCUUGUGAAGACGUUCCUUUAGGCCUCCUGCGAGUGAUGUAUUCCCAGAAAAGACAAGCUCUGAUUCAGCUGGGGCUGGCCAGGCCGGUCCCCUGGAAGCUCCAACUCCCGGGGAAUUCGCACCAUGCAGGUUCUGCAAAGAACCACACAGCUGGCUUCACGAGAGAAAGUCCAUGCGGUAGAAAGACCCAGGCCCCCUGCCGUGGUUUUUCCAAAUGCUCAGUGACCUUCCUGAACACAUCGCCAGAAGCGGAUGAAGGAGCCAGGCGAUGAUUUUGCUCCAGCCUUCUUUGACCUUUAAUUGGGUGCUGGCCCUUGGGGAUGUCACAAAGCUCCCAGACUAACUUGAGUUUAGAGAAUUAUCUUGACAACCUGAUGAAAUAUUUGGGGUCUGGGUCUUCAGCCUGGUACACUUCUAGUGCAAUCUGGUCUCUCAGAAGCUAGAACCUGGAUCCUAGGGCAGAGGAAGGGCCUGGAAUUAACUUCAGCUUGUGGAAUUUCUGAAAACAGAGAAAAUGAGGCUGCGCGUUGAUUCAGUGUAAGACUAUUUUCCUCUAAAGUUAAGUUUCACAUUACUUGUGAAAUGCUCAGCCUGCUUAAAUCAUUUGUAAAAUCUUGUUAACUAGCAGAUUCAUACUGGUAUUUGCCAUUGAUCUGGUCCUUGAUAAGCCUCAAAUAAUUCGUGGUAUUACAUUGUUCAGUUUGUGAAAAAUGUUCCCUUGGCUCCAUCAGAUGUUUUUAAAGUUUCCUUUGUAGACUGAACUGAAAAAUAAUCCCAAACGCCUAAAAGGUUUCUUUUAAAAAAAGAAAAAUUGUUUAGAGUGUUAUCUAUAAAUAUAUUGUAUUUUUUAUUUUAUGUAAUUUUACAUUUCAUGAAAUGUUAUCAGUUUCAAAGAAAAAGUGGAGAGGAGCUAACAUAUGUCCCUGUCUAGAAAGAUCUGUUUCAUUAAAGAAUGUGAAUUUCU
ensembl:lncRNA